UGCAUCAGGCCUGAUCAAAUGAGCAUGUCUAUCCCUACCGACAGAGGGAAAUAAUUUAUCAUCCAGUCAUUUUGGUUCUGUGCAUGUGUGGUCAAAGCUCAGCUAUCCAUCCCAGUACUAGUGCUACUCUCGGGUACACCGUCCCCUAAUCUACUCGUAUUCCCCAACCAGGUCCCUAUCUCUCCCGUCACUUCUCUCUUUCUAAGAACACCACCGUCACCGCCGGUUCGAUCUACUACGUCCGGCUGUCAUCGGCUCCACCGCUCGCAUCUACAACAUCCCCUUAUUCUCCUCUACUUGAUUUCCACACUCGCCGUCGCUCUGCGCCAAGCCAUGGCCGACAGCACACGCGGCCGCAUCGGCCGUACGGCUCGACGACCAUGGUCGAUGCCGAGGUUGACGCCACCUGGGCCGGACCAAGACUCCUGCUGCCAAGGCAGCGCCGUGGCGCCGCAGCUAGCGUGGUACCAGCGACUACCUUGUACUGCUAAUCCUCCUCUACAGCUAGCUAUUACUUUCAGGCAACAAAGCAUGCAAAAGCAGACGGUACAAGUAUAGGGUGAAAGCAGAGCAAGUGGCCUUGCUAGUACCUGACCAAACACCACCAAGGAUCAAUCAGAGAUGCCCAACACAGGGAUGACUAUGUGAGACUAGAUGUGGUGGAGAAAAGGGGUGGUCGGAGAGAGUGGAGUGUUUGGUCGAAAAUGCUGAAUAGUGAAAUGGACAGUCUAUUUAUAGUAGGGAGAGGUUAGGUCGGUUUAGCACAAUUUGUGCCAGGUGGGCUGCAUGCACAGCUUUGAUGUACAUGCGUGUGUACACUUGUAUCUCUUCUAGCUGUAAAUUUUUACAAGUAGAUGAAAGUGAGCUGUUUGUGAGUUGGCUAUUACCUUGCCACUAAGGAAGUCUGGCAGGGACUUAAUUGUAAAUUUCGAAAUUCUGUCAGGGGUUGAAAAGUGAAACCGAUGUAUAUGAACUUUGUAAGCAAAUAUUGUUAGGACUUUGGUGAUUGAAUUUUAUUUAAUAUGGGUUUAGCGUGAAA